CCCUUAGAUGUUCUGGGCCGCACGCGCGCUACACUGAUGAAUUCAACGAGUUUAUAACCUUGGCAGAGAUGCCUGGGUAAUCUUGUAAAUGUUCAUCGUGAUGGGGAUAGAUUAUUGCAAUUAUUAAUCUUCAACGAGGAAUUCCUAGUAAACGCAAGUCAUCAGCUUGCAUUGAUUACGUCCCUGCCCUUUGUACACACCGCCCGUCGCACCUACCGAUUGAAUGGUGCGGUGAAAUCUCUGGACCGUGACAGUUGCUUGCUUUCGGGCGAGCGACUGUCGUGGGAAGUUGAUUAAACCUUAUCAUUUAGAGGAAGGUGAAGUCGUAACA
rnacentral:rRNA from 1 species